ACACUCCUACGGGAGGCAGCAGUGGGGAAUUUUGGACAAUGGGCGAAAGCCUGAUCCAGCAAUGCCGCGUGUGUGAAGAAAGCCUUCGGGUUGUAAAGCACUUUUGUCCGGAAAGAAAUCCUUGGCUCUAAUACAGUCGGGGGAUGACGGUACCGGAAGAAUAAGCACCGGCUAACUACGUGCCAGCAGCCGCGGUAAUACGUAGGGUGCGAGCGUUAAUCGGAAUUACUGGGCGUAAAGCGUGCGCAGGCGGUUUGCUAAGACCGAUGUGAAAUCCCCGGGCUCAACCUGGGAACUGCAUUGGUGACUGGCAGGCUAGAGUAUGGCAGAGGGGGGUAGAAUUCCACGUGUAGCAGUGAAAUGCGUAGAGAUGUGGAGGAAUACCGAUGGCGAAGGCAGCCCCCUGGGCCAAUACUGACGCUCAUGCACGAAAGCGUGGGGAGCAAACAGGAUUAGAAACCCUGGUAGUCCC
rnacentral:rRNA from 1 species